GACGGAGGGUGCUAGCGUUGUUCGGAAUUACUGGGCGUAAAGGGCGCGUAGGCGGCCUGGUCAGUCGGGUGUGAAAGCCCGGGGCUCAACCCCGGAACGGCACCCGAGACGGCCAGGCUGGAGACCGGGAGAGGAGGGUGGAAUAGCCAGUGUAGAGGUGAAAUUCGUAGAUAUUGGCUGGAACACCGGUGGCGAAAGCGGCUCUCUGGCCCGGUUCUGACGCUGAUGUGCGAAAGCGUGGGGAGCAAACAGG
rnacentral:rRNA from 1 species